rnacentral:rRNA from 1 species
GACGAACGCUGGCGGCGUGCUUAACACAUGCAAGUCGAACGGUGAAGCUCCAGCUUGCUGGAGUGGAUCAGUGGCGAACGGGUGAGUAACACGUGAGCAACCUGCCCCUGACUCUGGAAUAAGCGCUGGAAACGGCGUCUAAUACUGGAUAUGAGAAGGGUCCGCAUGGACACCUUCUGGAAAGUUUUUCGGUUGGGGAUGGGCUCGCGGCCUAUCAGCUUGUUGGUGAGGUAAUGGCUCACCAAGGCGACGACGGGCAGCCGGCCUGGGAGGGCGACCGGCCACACUGGGACUGAGACACGGCCCAGACUCCUACGGGCGGCAGCAGUGGGGAAUAUUGCACAAUGGGCGAAAGCCUGAUGCAGCGACGCCGCGUGGGGGAUGACGGCCUUCGGGUUGUAAACCUCUUUCAGCAGGGAAGAAGCGAAAGUGACGGUACCUGCAGAAGAAGCACCGGCUAACUACGU